CCUACGGGUGGCAGCAGUGAGGAAUAUUGGUCAAUGGACGAGAGUCUGAACCAGCCAAGUAGCGUGAAGGAUGACUGCCCUAUGGGUUGUAAACUUCUUUUAUAUGGGAAUAAAACGUUCCACGUGUGGGAUUUUGUAUGUACCAUAUGAAUAAGGAUCGGCUAACUCCGUGCCAGCAGCCGCGGUAAUACGGAGGAUCCGAGCGUUAUCCGGAUUUAUUGGGUUUAAAGGGAGCGUAGGUGGAUUGUUAAGUCAGUUGUGAAAGUUUGCGGCUCAACCGUAAAAUUGCAGUUGAAACUGGCAGUCUUGAGUACAGUAGAGGUGGGCGGAAUUCGUGGUGUAGCGGUGAAAUGCUUAGAUAUCACGAAGAACUCCGAUUGCGAAGGCAGUUCACUGGACUGCAACUGACACUGAGGCUCGAAAGUGUGGGUAUCAAACAGGAUUAGAUACCCCGGUAUC
rnacentral:rRNA from 1 species